CCUACGGGAGGCAGCAGUGGGGAAUAUUGGGCAAUGGGCGCAAGCCUGACCCAGCAAAGUCGCGUGAAGGAAGAAGGCUCUCGGGUUGGAAACUUCUUUUAAGAGGGAAGAGCAGAAGACGGUACCUCUUGAAUAAGCCACGGCUAACGACGUGCCAGCAGCCGCGGUAAUACGUAGGUGGGAAGCGUUGUCCGGAUUGACUGGGUGUAAAGGGCGUGCAGGCGGGAAGACAAGUCAGAUGUGAAAUCCCGGGGCUCAACCGCGGAACUGCAUUUGAAACUGUUUUUCUUGAGGACCGGAGAGGUCAUCGGAAUUCCUUGUGUAGCGGUGAAAUGCGUAGAUAUAAGGAAGAACCCGAGUGGCGAAGGCGGAUGCCUGGACGGCAACUGACGGUGAGGCGCGAAAGCGUGGGGAGCAAACAGGAUUAGAUCCCCUGGUAGUC
rnacentral:rRNA from 1 species